rnacentral:misc_RNA from 1 species
AACGCAUAUUGCGCUCGAGGCUUCGGCCAAGAGCAUGUCUGCCUCAGCGUCGGGUUAAUAUCACUCUCCAAUCAUCGUCAUGGAUGAAUGCCUGUGAGUGGAUCUGGCCGUUCCAGCCAAGGUGUCGCUCCGUCGACAUACCACCCUGCUGGAUCAGCUGAAGUACAGAGGCUAGUCAAGGACCCGCUAAGGGCCGCAACUGGGUAGGCUAACUCGUUAGCUACAUCUUAGUUGUUGGUCUGGGACUUUGUCUGAGGCCCUUAACCAGGAAGCAUAACCCUUCAUUAUCUCGACUGAGCUCAGGCAAGAACACCCGCUGAACUUAA